rnacentral:rRNA from 1 species
GAUGAACGCUGGCGGCGUGCCUAAUACAUGCAAGUCGAACGGUGAGGAGCAAUCCUCAUAGUGGCGAACGGGUGAGUAACGCGUUGGUGACCUGCCCCGAAGUGUGGGAUACCAGGCCGAAAGGCUUGCUAAUGCCGCAUGCACAACCGAUGAUCAGAAGGUUGGUUGUAAAGGGAUUUAUCCCGCUUUGGGAGGGGCCUGCGUCCCAUCAGCUAGUUGGUAAGGUAACGGCUUACCAAGGCGAUGACGGGUAGGGGACCUGAGAGGGUGACCCCCCACAAUGGAACUGAAACACGGUCCAUACACCUACGGGUGGCAGCAGUAGGGAAUAUUGGUAAUGGGCGAAAGCCUGAACCAGCAACGCCGCGUGUGCGAUGAAGGCCUUCGGGUUGUAAAGCACUUUUGACCGGGACGAGGAAGGACGGUACCGGUGGAAUAAGCCUCGGCUAACUACGUGCCAGCCGCCGCCGUAACAC